AUUGAACGCUGGCGGCAGGCCUAACACAUGCAAGUCGAGCGGAUGAAGGGAGCUUGCUCCUGGAUUCAGCGGCGGACGGGUGAGUAAUGCCUAGGAAUCUGCCUGGUAGUGGGGGAUAACGUCCGGAAACGGGCGCUAAUACCGCAUACGUCCUGAGGGAGAAAGUGGGGGAUCUUCGGACCUCACCCUAUCAGAUGAGCCUAGGUCGGAUUAGCUAGUUGGUGGGGUAAAGGCCUACCAAGGCGACGAUCCGUAACUGGUCUGAGAGGAUGAUCAGUCACGCUGGAACUGAGACACGGUCCAGACUCCUACGGGAGGCAGCAGUGGGGAAUAUUGGACAAUGGGCGAAAGCCUGAUCCAGCCAUGCCGCGUGUGUGAAGAAGGUCUUCGGAUUGUAAAGCACUUUAAGUUGGGAGGAAGGGCAGUAAGUUAAUACCUUGCUGUUUUGACGUUACCAACAGAAUAAGCACCGGCUAACUUCGUG
rnacentral:rRNA from 1 species